rnacentral:lncRNA from 1 species
CAGAAAAGUGGCAAAAGUCUUCAAGGGCCUGAAAAAGGCCGAGACAGGAACUGAGAAGCUGGCAGUAGGUCCUGCUACUGCUGCAGGGGCGGCGGGCGCCCUGGGUGGGCCACGAGGCAGGGACAACCGAGGCUCCGCGCCCACCCCACCCGCAAGGGGCCAAGCGCAGACCCAGGGGAGCCAGAGGGGCCGGACCGCUGAGCAAGGGCUGGGGAAGGAUCCCACGCUUGGAUACUUGGGAGUGAAGAUGUGUUAUUUCACCCACCGACUCGUUCCACACGACCAAGGCCUGUGCCUGCCCUGAGGGCGAGUUGGUUGAGCUCUGAGACAACUCUCAGAGCGUGGGCCUGGGCCGAACCUUUCCCUGUGAGCAGCAGCAUCAGCGUCUAGAACGACGGCCCUCCCGGUCCACGGUGGAAGGUGCGGAGCUCCCGUGGUGUGCUGGCAGCCAUUCGCAGAAGGGAGAUGGAGGGGCACAGGGCAGGUGCUCGCACGGAGUCGUCGAUCUCCAGGGACACCUUCCUCCCAGUUUCCCAAAGCGUUUGUGCUUUUCAUCAGAAUGGAAGCCCGGGUUUCAGUGCCCCCGCUUCCACCCCUCACUCACCCACGGGGCAGCUCCUCUUGUUGCACAUCUGACGCUCCUGCACAUCCCCCACGCAGGCCUUCCCUCCGUACUGAGGCUCAGGGCUGUUGCAGACCCGGGUGCGCUCCCGGAUCCCACCGGCACAGGUGACAGUGCAGGCCGACCACGGGGACCAGGGGCUCCAGCGGCCAUCGACUGCGGGGAAAGCCAACCGGGGGAAGCUCAGAGCAAGACCCGGGGUGGAGAACGUUGGCUGACUACAGGUCAGAGCGUGAUUGCACCACUACGCCUGCUGCAAUGGUGGAUUCCGGGAGUGACGCAGAUGACAGUGUUUCCAAUGGCUUUGCUGCGAUCUCUUGGCCUCCAGAAGACAAAUCAUACCACCUCU